CGCAGUGCUGCUGUCCCUGGUGCUGAUAUUUUCAUAGGCACACACCGUGGACCAUGGCAGAAUUUCCAGGAACGCUAGAUGUAUUUGUACUAUUUUUAUGUCUACUGAUUGAAAACUGAACAAAGGAAGCUGUUCACCAUUUGAAGAGGCCAUCACAAUGCUCAGAAGAUGAUCAAAGAAGCUACUUAAGAAUAACAUGCUGCCUUUUUAAAAAACCAAUGCCCACGCUGAACUCAGAAUGGUAAUGAGCUCAGGCAGGAGCCCAACUGAGACCUCCACGGCCAUCCCACCCAGCUGGGAUAUUUGCAUUUUAUACAAACCAUUUUAUGAUGCUAUAAAUUUCACAUUUUUAUAGUUACAGGUCUUAAUCAUCAUGAAUACCAUUUCUGCACGUAUCUUUGGUAAACGGAAUUAAAAUCUCCUCAUGAUCUGAAAA
rnacentral:lncRNA from 1 species